GCCCGGUUAGUGUAACUGUCCAACACACCUGCAUGAUAUGCAGGAGAUCAGCGGUUAGAAUCCGUUACCGGGUAC
rnacentral:tRNA from 1 species